UGGGGAAUAUUGCGCAAUGGGCGAAAGCCUGACGCAGCGACGCCGCGUGUGGGAUGACGGCCUUCGGGUUGUAAACCACUGUCGGGAGGGACGAAUGCGCCGCAAGGCGAGUGACGGUACCUCCAAAGGAAGCACCGGCUAACUCCGUGCCAGCAGCCGCGGUAAUACGGAGGGUGCGAGCGUUGUCCGGAAUCACUGGGCGUAAAGGGCGCGUAGGCGGCCUGAUAAGUAGGGGGUGAAAUCCUGCGGCUUAACCGCAGGGCUGCCUUCUAAACUGUCAGGCUCGAGCACAGUAGAGGCAGGUGGAAUUCCCGGUGUAGCGGUGGAAUGCGUAGAGAUCGGGAAGAACAUCAGUGGCGAAGGCGGCCUGCUGGGCUGUUGCUGACGCUGAGGCGCGACAGCGUGGGGAGCAAACAGGAUUAGAUACCCUGGUAGUCCACGCCGUAAACGAUGGACACUAGGCGUCGGGGGAGCGACCCUCCCGGUGCCGUCGCUAACG
rnacentral:rRNA from 1 species